GGGAAGGUAGCUUAGUGGUAAAGCAUUUGUCUGGCAAAUGCUCAAGGCCCUGGAUUCAAUCCCCAGCCCA
rnacentral:tRNA from 1 species